rnacentral:tRNA from 1 species
GGGGUUGUGGCUCAGUGGUAGAUCCCUCACCUCACACAAGUGAGACCUGGGUUCGAUCCUCAGCACCACA